UACGUAGGGUGCGAGCGUUAAUCGGAAUUACUGGGCGUAAAGCGUGCGCAGGCGGUUUUGUAAGACAGAUGUGAAAUCCCCGGGCUUAACCUGGGAACUGCAUUUGUGACUGCAUGGCUGGAGUGCGGCAGAGGGGGAUGGAAUUCCGCGUGUAGCAGUGAAAUGCGUAGAUAUGCGGAGGAACACCGAUGGCGAAGGCAAUCCCCUGGGCCUGCACUGACGCUCAUGCACGAAAGCGUGGGGAGCAAACAGG
rnacentral:rRNA from 1 species